rnacentral:misc_RNA from 1 species
GAUGAAGAACGCAGCGAAAUGCGAUACGUAAUGUGAAUUGCAGAAUUCAGUGAAUCAUCGAGUCUUUGAACGCACAUUGCGCCCCCUGGUAUUCCGGGGGGCAUGCCCGUCCGAGCGUCAUUACAACCCUCAAGCUCAGCUUGGUGUUGGGCCCCGCCGCCCCGGCGGGCCCUAAAGUCAGUGGCGGUGCCGUCCGGCUCCGAGCGUAGUAAUUCUUCUCGCUCUGGAGGUCCGGUCGUGUGCUCGCCAGCAACCCCCAAUUUUUUUCAGGUUGACCUCGGAUCAGGUAGGGAUACCUGCUGAACUUAAGCAUAUCAAUAAGCGGAGGA